UCCCUUGUGAUCUAGUGAUUGGGAUUCAGCACUUUUACUGCUGCAGCCUGGGUUCAAUUACUGCUAAGGGAA
rfam:Macaca mulatta chromosome 6, whole genome shotgun sequence.